rnacentral:rRNA from 2 species
GGCGCGCUCUGCGCGCACCGGCGGACGGCUCAGUAACACGUCGGUAACCUACCCUCGGGAGGGGGAUAACCCCGGGAAACUGGGGCUAAUCCCCCAUAGGCCUGGGGUACUGGAAGGUCCCCAGGCCGAAAGGGGCUCUGCCCGCCCGAGGAUGGGCCGGCGGCCGAUUAGGUAGUUGGUGGGGUAACGGCCCACCAAGCCGAAGAUCGGUACGGGCCAUGAGAGUGGGAGCCCGGAGAUGGACACUGAGACACGGGUCCAGGCCCUACGGGGCGCAGCAGGCGCGAAACCUCCGCAAUGCGGGCAACCGCGACGGGGGGACCCCCAGUGCCGUGGCACAGCCACGGCUUUUCCGGAGUGUAAAAAGCUCCGGGAAUAAGGGCUGGGCAAGGCCGGUGGCAGCCGCCGCGGUAAUACCGGCGGCCCAAGUGGUGGCCGCUAUUAUUGGGCCUAAAGC